rnacentral:rRNA from 1 species
UACGUAGGGGGCAAGCGUUGUCCGGAUUUAUUGGGCGUAAAGAGCGUGUAGGCGGCUAGAUAGGUCCGUUGUGAAAGCUCGAGGCUCAACCUCGAGACGUCGAUGGAAACCAUCUAGCUAGAGUCCGGAAGAGGAGAGUGGAAUUCCUGGUGUAGCGGUGAAAUGCGCAGAUAUCAGGAAGAACACCCGUGGCGAAGGCGGUUCUCUGGGACGGUACUGACGCUGAGACGCGAAAGCGUGGGGAGCGAACAGG